UGAGAGCAGAGGGAAGAUGCCCAUUAAAUGAAAAUGCAUUUAACAUGCAGGAGAUUAUGGAUUAUGUUACCUGUCCAUCAGGUUUGCAGCAUUAAAGCCAAGACGAAGUGAAACUUUGAAUGGCACGCCAAGAAAAUAACAAACACAGAGGAUUGUAAGUGUUUCCACAGGCAAAACUAUAAAUCCAGAUGGUGUGGUGGAUCAGCCUGAGCCGAUGAAAAAUAACAGUGGAGGGCAGAAAAGCCUGAAAAAAAAUGUAUGAAGGUGGUGAUAGAAUAAGAAUUUCACACCUACAGUACCUACCACA